CCUACGGGCGGCUGCAGUGGGGAAUAUUGCACAAUGGGCGCAAGCCUGAUGCAGCCAUGCCGCGUGUGUGAAGAAGGCCUUCGGGUCGUAAAGCACUUUCAGCGGGGAGGAAGGCGUUAAGGUUAAUAACCUUGGCGAUUGACGUUACCCGCAGAAGAAGCACCGGCUAACUCCGUGCCAGCAGCCGCGGUAAUACGGAGGGUGCAAGCGUUAAUCGGAAUUACUGGGCGUAAAGCGCACGCAGGCGGUCUGUCAAGUCGGAUGUGAAAUCCCCGGGCUCAACCUGGGAACUGCAUUCGAAACUGGCAGGCUAGAGUCUUGUAGAGGGGGGUAGAAUUCCAGGUGUAGCGGUGAAAUGCGUAGAGAUCUGGAGGAAUACCGGUGGCGAAGGCGGCCCCCUGGACAAAGAUUGACGCUCAGGUGCGAAAGCGUGGGGAGCAAACAGGAUUAGAUACCCUUGUAGUC
rnacentral:rRNA from 1 species